rnacentral:rRNA from 1 species
UUCUUUGGAGAGUUUGAUCCUGGCUCAGGACGAACGCUGGCGGCGUGCCUAAUACAUGCAAGUCGAGCGGACCAAAUCGGAGCUUGCUCUGAUUCGGUCAGCGGCGGACGGGUGAGUAACACGUGGGCAACCUGCCCGCAAGACCGGGAUAACUCCGGGAAACCGGAGCUAAUACCGGAUAACACCGAAGACCGCAUGGUCUUUGGUUGAAAGGCGGCCUUUGGCUGGCACUUG